rnacentral:lncRNA from 1 species
GCAGGGCUCGCGUCGUAGCUUGCCUCGGCAGCGGCGACCCACCGGCGGCGGUGGCGGCGGCGGUGGCCGGAGGGCGGAGCGCCGGUGCCUACAGUGUUGACUUCCGGACCCUGGCCGGCUGCAAGCUGGGCAUUUCCAGGUACCCCGACUUCGAUUACGACGCGUCGGGCGGCGCGGGGACGGCGGCGGCGGCGGCGGCGGCGGCGGAGGAGGGCGAGGAGAUCUUGGUGACUUUCGACGCGGGGUCCCUGUACAUUCCGCCGCUGAUGACUGCGACGACGAGGUUCCUGGGCCUGCCGCUGCCGCCGUUCCUGAAGAUCGAGAUCGUCCCGGAGAGCUUCCAAGGGAUCAUCAACAGGG